rnacentral:lncRNA from 1 species
CCUCAAAGUUCAGGGGGAACAUAUUACAAGAGCACGAGGGAUUCUACACUGCUUCAAGAGCAGCUGAUGCCUGAUGGGUACAGUGGGCACACCAGCCACUGCAAGCAGACUGGGAUCAUGAUCUUGAGAAUGGUCCAGAAGAGAUUCUUAAGUUGAGAAAGCAGGCUGUACCAUGUUCUCCAGGACCAAAGCUUGCCAAGGAGACUCGCCCAAGGCCCUGGCCACUACUUUCCUCCCCAUAGUGAGGUAUUGCAGAGAAUGAUGAGUUCUACGGAAAUG